GUAUUUACCUACUACAUAAAUUAUCUAGAUUUACCAUUUGGAUCUAAAUAUAAUACUCGAAUGGAUUGUUUUCUAACUAUAAAAAACUACAAUUCAUCAUUCAUAAUAAGAGCAUUGUCAAAAUCCAUAUUCGAUUUUUUUGUAAUAAAUAUUUAUUAAUUUCAUAACUAAUUUAGUGUACUAUCUGCAUAUUAUAAUCCAUUUUACACCUUACCAGUUGUAAGUUACACGUUUUUAUACAAACAUGUCAUAAAGUAAGAAGAAUGAUGACUCAGCGAUUAGUUCUAUUUGUUUUGAUUGUAAUUAUGUCACAAUUAAUUGAGGGAAUGUUACAAAUGGUUAAUGUUACGGCAAUACGGAUAGUGGUGGUGGUCGAGGCUGGCCACUCUCUUGCCGCUGUGCUUCACAAACGAAGAUCAAACACCCGCGGACCUACUAGCUUCCCAGUGUCCCAACGAAAAUAAAUAUUUCUGUGCGAAUUUUGAUAACUGUGGUUUACAAACAUUUUAUUAGAACACGUGUGUGUAAAAAACCUUUACUGUGUUUUUUGAUGAAAAUCAAGGUUUAACUUAUCAAAGUGAAGUCAAGGUCACAUCAACAAUGAAGUCGGUAGUUUUGUUGUUGGCAAUGUUGACAUACAUGGUCAAGUGUCUCCCACCUCCACAUCCUGAUGUGGAGGCAGUUCGUCGUGAAGAAGAGCUCCUACCACCCAGCUUACGAAGCCCAGCUCUUCAUAAUCCCCAUUUACAAGAAAUUCUGCCACUAUCAAGUCUUUUACAUAAAGGAGAAAAAUUGGUAUUCGAACGAGAAGCCCAUGACGUUUCGCGUAAGGAGAUAUACAACAUACUAACGCACGCUGGCUUAAUACCUAGAAAGAAAGUACCCGCAAAAAAGCAACACCCACAACUGCUGGUGCCUGCACAGAAAUUCGACCAACCGAACUUAUUCGAUCUGCCAUUCUUCCCUUCGCAGGAUUUCUUACAGUAUUUAUAAUGUAUAGAAAUACACUAGGUACUUAUGUAUAAUAAUAAAAUACUUUAUUAAAGACAACACAGAUCCUUAGUAUGAGUAAAAUAAUAAUUACUUAAGGACUGAUGUUAGUAUCGGAACAAUAACAAUAAUGAUUUUAUUCCGUAAAUUGUACAGGAUGAGAGAGGGGAAAUGUUAUGAUCUGCGAAUAACAUGAAGAAUAAAGAACUAUUUCUUCCAUUACCAAUGAACUUGCCUUAAACUUGUAAAUAAUUUCUUAGCAAUAUAACUUGUAAUUGUAGAUAAUUAAGUAAAUAAGUUUAAAUGUAUUUGUUAUUUUCAAAAUUGUGUGUAAAUCUUUGAAUGUAUGAAUGUUAUGCGAAUGCGUGAUUUUGUUAUUCAAACUCGUACGGUGCUUGUAUCAUACUCUCUUAUGUUAAAUACUUUUUCGUUUUAACUUUUCCACUCAAAAUGGAAAACAAAAAUUACAAAAGUUAUUGAAUAAAUGUAUAUUCUAAAUGAAUGUUAUAUGACACGUCUAUUUUAAAAUUCGUGACCCAUUGUACCAAAUAAACAAACUAUUAUCAAAUCCAA
rnacentral:lncRNA from 1 species